rnacentral:rRNA from 1 species
UACGUAGGGUGCAAGCGUUUAAUCGGAAUUACUGGGCGUAAAGCGUGCGCAGGCGGUUAUGUAAGACAGGUGUGAAAUCCCCGGGCUUAACCUGGGAACUGCAUUUGUGACUGCAUAGCUAGAGUACGGUAGAGGGGGAUGGAAUUCCGCGUGUAGCAGUGAAAUGCGUAGAGAUGCGGAGGAACACCGAUGGCGAAGGCAGCCCCCUGGGCUGACACUGACGCUCAGGCACGAAAGCGUGGGGAGCAAACAGG